GUCUGGCUGGCUCAGUUGCUAGAGUGUGUGACUCUUGAUCUUGGGGUUGUGAGUUCGAGCCCCACGCUGGGUG
rnacentral:tRNA from 1 species